GGCAGCAGCCGCAGGAACACCGGCGGCCCGAGUGGUGAUCGUGAUUAUUGGGUCUAAAGGGUCCGUAGCCGGUUUGGUCAGUCCUCCGGGAAAUCUGAUAGCUCAACUAUUAGGCUUUCGGGGGAUACUGCCAGACUUGGAACCGGGAGAGGUAAGAGGUACUACAGGGGUAGGAGUGAAAUCUUGUAAUCCCUGUGGGACCACCUGUGGCGAAGGCGUCUUACCAGAACGGGUUCGACGGUGAGGGACGAAAGCUGGGGGCACGAACCGGAUUAGAUACCCGGGUAGUCCCAGCCGUAAACGAUGCUCGCUAGGUGUCAGGCAUGGCGCGACCGUGUCUGGUGCCGCAGGGAAGCCGUGAAACGAGCCACCUGGGAAGUACGGCCGCAAGGCUGAAACUUAAAGGAAUUGGCGGGGGAGCACAACAACGGGUGGAGCCCUGCGGUUUAAUUGGACUCAACGCCGGACAACUCACCGGGGGCGACAGCAAUAUGUAGGCCAAGCUGAAGACUUUGCCUGAAUCGCUGAGAAGAGGUGCAUGG
rnacentral:rRNA from 1 species